GAACAGUCUCUACCUCUGGGGCUGGGGCAGAGCACCGAGAGAGGAAUAGAGGUGGAAGCGCAUCCCCGCCCCCACCCAAGGCUGCGAGUCAGAGCUCUCUGGAGAGGGUGUGGCUGUGGCCCUCUGGAAGGUGGGAGGGUUUGCUGAGGUGCCACAGCUGGGGCUGGCAAGCAAGAAACUGCCAGCUGUGCUGGUGAGACUCACUUAGAUGCUGCCCGCUGGAGAGCCAGGGAAACUUGCUGGAGGAUGAGUGCCUCUAGGAGUCCGGGCUGCUGUUUGCUGCCACAUUCUGCUAGAAUCAAUAGGAAAAAUGGCCCCAGAACUAGGAUGAGAAGCCCCUUCCUCUAGGAGUCUCCCUCUAAGACCUUCUGCUGAGUAGCCUGACCUUGUGCCACCUGGAACGGGAGACGUGUUUGUUUAUAGGAUCUGGCUCCAGCGUAACAAAGCAGGGCAAGGAAGAGUGGGUUUGGCACUGAGAGGCAAUACACUGAUAAACCAGCACACCUGUGUUCCUCCUAUCUUGCGGUCUUUCCUUCCUUCGGAAAGUCUUCAUUCAUCCAGCAAUUGGCAAAAAGAUGGAGAAGUCUCACUUUUCCUAAACUUCCUUGGUGAGUAGUCACUAACAGUGUGGCCUCACCAAAUGCAAGAGGAAUGAGAAAUGUCUUCUAGUUGUGCACCAGGAAGACGAGAAAAACAGAUAGUGAUGAGAAGUUGUCAUCUCUACCACAGCCUGUAAUCAAAACGACGUGUUACUGGCCUAGGAAAAGAUAACUAAACCAGUUAUUAAGCUGCGGGAAAACACCUGCAGGUGUAAACCAUGUCAAGUGUUUAGAACAGUGCCUGCACACAAGCCAUGACCGAAAAAUGUUCAACUUAUAGCCACGCUCUGGUGCCCUCAAGAAGUUUGUUUAGAGGGCAAAAGUAGAAGCCUCAGGCAAGAUUUUCUUCUGUUACCUGUGGCAGAAGAGCAGCAGCUGCGGGGGCCUCAUGUGAACUUGGACAAGGGACAUCUCUGCACCACGCUAUUCAGAAAGAAGCCCAGAGGAGUCUUCCAGAUGUGCUGACCCUGGGCUUCUGCACCACUGCAACACCUGUAUGGAGUAAGGAACCCCCCAGCUAUAACGAGGGAAGAGCUCUGCCCUCCGAGGGGAGGAGAGUUCAGACAGGGCGUGCGCUUCACCUCCCUCUCUGCUACGUUUGGUUUGUGGGCUUGGAAUUUCCUUUUUCAAUAACUCCCAAGUCUAUCUGACCCACUUCUGUUGUUUCAUUCAUAGCAGAGAGAGACAUCCACAGGUAUUUUUCUCUCUCUCUAUAUGCAUGCAUUCAGUUAUUUUAACCUGCCUUUUCCCACAGAGGGUUUUAGACAAUGUAGACAAUUUGCUUGGGAAUAUUAUCAUUUCAAUGAUAAUCUCCUUUCCACACUGAACAAUAAAAUAUAGCUCCAACAAUAUUGUGGACCAACUGAUUUGAGACAAGAGCUAAAUUUAAGUUUAUCCAUUGUUAAAGACAAAUAGUCUAUUUAAAAAUUAAGAAUAUAACAGAUGUGGAUUGGAUAUUUGAUAUUUUCAUGAGCCAACGUGAUGCAGCAGAUAAUGAACUUGAGCUCUGAAGCAUACCUGAGAUUCAGCCCUAGCUUUUCGUAAUGCUAUCUGCAUAAUAUUGGGCAGGUUGCGUAGUUUACUUUCACCUCUGCUGCGUAGGGUUGUUGUGAGGAUUGACUAUAAAUGUGGGGUGAAGCACUUGAACAGGGCCUGGCACAGACUUGCUGUUUAAUGUUUAAUAACACUAGCUGGUUUGCUUGCAACUAAGCAGUCCUGCUUUCAAAAACUUAGAAUAGACCCAGGUGAGGCAAACAAUUGAUAUGUUCAUAGCAAGUCAUGAUCUUUGGUUCAUUUGACUCCUAAGAAUCCCUAACAGAAUGCAUCUUAGUGUUGUUGCUACGUGUAUCCAGAGAAAUAAACCUAUAAUUCCUUGGGAUGUUUUAUGAUUCAAAUGAUUUACUACUUCAAAUUGGUAUUUCUUUAGACCUACAAUGAAAAAGGACAUGUUUUCAUUCAAUGAAAAUACGCUGGCAUGAUAUGUGUUGGCUUGCUUUGUCCAAAAGUAGUAAGGGAUUGCACUAAAUGAUUAACAUAGUUUUUCCUGUAACUUUCAUGUAUUUGUGUGUGUGUGUUUGCCUGUAUGCACGUGCACAUGUGCCCACAUUCAUACACCUAAAGACCCUAAAGUUACUUAAUCUCAGUACUUUAAUGGAUGUUGAUGUUAUCGCAUUGGCCUCGUAAGCACUGUUUGCCA
ensembl:lncRNA